GACGAAGGGGGCUAGCGUUGUUCGGAAUUACUGGGCGUAAAGCGCGUGUAGGCGGUUGUUCAAGUCAGGUGUGAAAGCCUUGAGCUCAACUCAAGAAAUGCACUUGAUACUGGAUGACUAGAGGACCGGAGAGGAUAGUGGAAUUCCCAGUGUAGUGGUGAAAUACGUAGAGAUUGGGAAGAACACCAGUGGCGAAGGCGGCUAUCUGGACGGUUUCUGACGCUAAGACGCGAAAGCGUGGGGAGCGAACGGG
rnacentral:rRNA from 1 species